rnacentral:rRNA from 1 species
AACGAACGCUGGCGGCAUGCCUAACACAUGCAAGUCGAACGAGACCUUCGUGUCUAGUUGCUCACGGGUGCGUAACGCGUGGGAACCUUCCCUUAUGUUCGGAAUAACUCCCCGAAAGGGGUGCUAAUACCGGAUAAUGUCUUCGGACCAAAGAUUUAUCGACUUUGUAUGGGCCCGCGUUGGAUUAGCUAGUUGGUAGGGUAAAAGCCUACCAAGGCUACGAUCCAUAGCUGGUCUGAGAGGAUGAUCAGCCACACUGGGACUGAGACACGGCCCAGAAUACUACGGGAGGCAGCAGUGGGUAAUAUUGGAAAAUGGGCGAAAGCAUGAUCCAGCAAUGCCGCGUGAGUGAUGAAGGCCUUAGGGUUGUAAAGCUCUUUUACCCGGGAUGAUAAUGACAGUACCGGGAGAAUAAGCUCCGGCUAACUCCGUG